UGGGGACAAAUUUUCACGGCCCUGAUUGAUAGACCAGUGGCGGCCGAGGGCGGGGGGGGGGCGGGGCCCCCCGCGGGUGCCGGAGCCUGCGCGCCCGAGCUCGGCGUGGGGAGCGGCGGGGCGCUCGAGGCUCCGGGGCUGUGCUGUGCUACGUUCAUUCCGGGGUUCGCCCUGGAGGAGCGGCCAGGCCGGAGUCGCCCGCCUCGACGGAUGGAGAGCCGGGGGUGCAGAGGCCCUGUCCUGUCCUCGCCGGUCACGUGUGCACCUGCUUUUCUCUCGUGAAUGUGUUUAAAGCCUGGUGGGAGCUUUCUGUUCCUAGCGAGUGGAGUGCGAGUCCUCCCCGUGCCGGGGUUCGCCAGGAGUCAGCGAAGGCUCAGAGGGAGGUCAGUUCGUGGCUGCGCCUGGGGAGGCUGCCUCCUGGAUAUGUGUUCUGCCAUCACCUUCACCAGGACCUUGCAAAGCCAGUGUCUGUAGGGUGAGAUUCCUUGGAGAACGUGUUGUUCUAAGCAGGGGUUUGUUCAGCAGCCAAACGGAGCAAACACACUGCGUGGUCGAGCCAGGGCAGCCCGGCAUCUGGGCUCAGAGAGGCCAGGCUGGACGCAGGGCUGGUCCUGCGCCUUCCACAGGCCCUCAGCACGCACGCUGGGACCACUCCUGCCAUGAGGCACCGCCGCCCAGGUUCACAUUCUGCAAACUUCCCAGAGCUCUCAUUGUCCAGAUGUAGAUACCUGGAAUUGGCCACCUUGGUGGGCACUGUGGGCAAAAUGCCACAGGACCCCCUCCCCCUUCUAAGCGCCACAGCCGGAGAAGUGUGUCUGUCGGAGUCUCUGGUGCACACUCCACCGGAUGAGGCAGGACCACGAUCGGAGUCAUCCACCCACGUUCUGAGCAUUCGCAACUUCAGGAUGGCGUCUCCAGGGGCUGCAGCCCCCAGGGCCCUACUGGGCUCACCUACAGCAGCCACCGGGCACCUCAAGACCCUCAGAGCUGAAGCCCAGUGGCAUCUGGGCAGGGUGACAGGUCCUGUUUGUGACGAGAAGGAGCCACCUCUCAGAGCGGGCCCGGCUUCUGCUGCUGCGCUGGCGGCACGUGAUCCAGCCGACCCUCGAGACGUCCUGAAAGCCUUCUGAUCUUUUCACCCUGCGGUUCCAUCCGGGGUCGCCCUGAAGACGUCAUCGCGACACAGGGAAGCCCUGGACACGAGCACCCACUGUCGCAGCCUCAGUGAGAACUUGGAGCAGACCCACGCCCGGUGCCGGGGGCUUGCUUACAGGAACCCUGGUCGCUGGCACAUGACGUGGAACCAUGCUGAUUAAAUUACGCAGGCACCACUCAGAUUGUACAAAUUCAAUGACUGCGCUUCUGAGCGAGAUCAAAGUGUGGGCAGCGGCUAGAAGCAAAUGAAGGGAAAUCUGGGUCAGGCAGGGCUGGGCUGCGGAGUGACUUUCUGUCUUCCUAGCAGCAGAAAUCUCUCCUGAAACAUGACCGAUCCCUGCCAUGGAGCAAAGGCCGUCAAAGAAGCGACUGUCCAGGCUGCCGCCUGCUCGAGAAACGGGGAGUGUCUCAAAGGUUGGCGGUAAAAUGCGAUUAAAUGUACGCAUUUAUUUCAGUGCCAAAAAAAUUGCAGUCCAUACAUAGUGUUUUUGUAAUACUCCUUUUCCAUGUGUUAGGAAAAAAUGCACCAAAAUAAUACUAAUAAAUAAAUAAAUCAUAAUUCUAAUUCCA
ensembl:lncRNA